rnacentral:rRNA from 1 species
UACGGGGGGGGGCAAGCGUUGUUCGGAAUUACUGGGCGUAAAGGGCUCGUAGGUGGCCAACUAAGUCAGACGUGAAAUCCCUCAGCUUAACUGGGGAACUGCGUCUGAUACUGGAUGGCUUGAGUUUGGGAGAGGGAUGCGGAAUUCCAGGUGUAGCGGUGAAAUGCGUAGAUAUCAGGAGGAACACCGGUGGCGAAGGCGGUUCUCUGGGCAUUACCUGACGCUGAGGAGCGAAAGUGUGGGGAGCGAACAGG